CUAAAAAUAGUCUGUGUUUCUGUCUGCUUAGUUGAGACCAUUGUCAAGAACAAUUGCACCCUUUUACAGUCUUUGAUUUGUAAUAUUUUGAUCAUUUGUUAUCUUGUAAUCUUUCCAUGAAAUCAAUAGAAGAACAUUGUUUCUAUCAUGGAUUUCAAUUAGUAGAAGCAUACAAACAUAAUCCUCUCGUCUCUCUUCAUACCCACUCGCGUCUGAAGAAUUCGCAACCAUGGAUGAACAGACGGAGAAGGCUUAUUUAAAGCAACUUAAGGUGUUCCAGUGGUGAGAUUUUUAGUCAUGUUUCAGCUUCGGCACCUUUAUUUAUGUUUUAGGUAAUCUAGGAGUUGGGUGCUUCAUUCUUUUAGCUUUUAGAUUCAGAGGACAAGACUGGCUUAAUUUUGCUGGUCCAAUUUUGUUAAGAUUGCUGCUGAUAAAGUGUGCGCGGUACAAAGUUCAUGGUACAUAACUCAUUUUAUUCAUCUUAUUAGCCCAGCUCGCCCGAAAUAAAAAGAAUACCUUCCAAAUUUGGGAAUCUCGACGAGGACCCAUUUUUUUGAGCAAAUGACUUUGUGAGGACAGAAAUCAUUACGUAAUCUGUUGUAUUGAUCUGAAUUUAUCAAUGGAGUGCAACAAAAGAAGAGGCUGUAAGAGCAAGGGUUAUGUGGGAGCACGAACAAUGGUCAAACAGGUUAUUACUAUUGCUGCUCAAACAAAUUGAAUGGUUUACUGAAACUUGUGCUUCCCUGGAGUUAUUUAAGGGCAAGAAUCAAGUUCCCUCUUUGCUAUUGGUGCAAUUGGCGUAUUCUAAUGCUUAGGAUGAAAUAACAUCUUUGCGAUUUGAAGUGGUGUUCCAACAAUAUUCCUCAUGCCAAAGAGCAGCUCGAACAUGUGUACGGAGAGCUGUGGUCAAGAACUACUGCAAAAGAUGAUGGAUGGAUGUGAUAAAUUGCCUAUAGAGAUAUGUCUGAAUGGUGUUGCAACUUCUGAGGUAUGGUUGGGGUUGUGGACCUCGUGGUAGCUCUUUUCGUGUUGCUUCUUCUCUUAUUGGUCAGGUAAUUCAGAGGUUUUGUCAAUUGAAUUCUGUUCUUUAUAUCAUUCUGUCAGGAUGUCUCACUUGUGUUGUAUGAACUCUUCUUGUCCAGUUGACACAAUUGUCCCUGCCUUUAACAUUUAAAAUCACUGUGGCACACCUUAAUUGACAUAAAUGCUCCUCCAUACAUAGAGAUAGACCUUUUAAAUGCUCCUCCACAUGCCCUACUUCUUGAGUUGUUAUGUAUAAAUUCACCUUCAGAAUUCUAGUUAAAAUAUACUACAUUGUUUAUGAUUCUGAUCGAUUGUUAAUAUGGAGACCUCUCUGGGACGCUGAUAGCUCUUCCAUCACACUAGUUAACUAUAUCUUGCCUGGGCUUUGAAGGGACCAUGUAACCAAUGCCUUUGCGCAGUGUUUUAAUUUCCAUAUUUAAACUUUUAAGUUUACUUGUAUUCUUCUUGUCUUGUAAAUUUUGAGCUCACUUUGGACAUUAGAUUCAGAAAUGGCCAAAAAGACCGAUUUUGUAGCGAUUUAGAAAUGGUCAAGUCGGUCACGUGUCAAAAUCAGUUGGAAGGGCUGACGUCAUGUCUAUAGGGUAAGAGGGGUAUAUAAAGAGAAGAGUUUGGACCAAAGAAACAUAAUCUCUCAACUUUUCUCAUCACUUGCCGUUCUCUUGUUCUAAAAAACCGCUGUUCAAAUUCUUUCUUUUGUGAAGCAAAAAUAAUCUUCGAUAGAUCCAAUCCUUUGAGUGUUAGGCCCAAUCCUUGGAGUGGAUUUCUUUUCUUUCGUCUUGUGAAGCAAAAAUAAUCUUUGGAUAGAUCCAGAUGAGUUGUUCAAGAGAUCUAUUGUUUCUAGAGACUAACGAUGACAAGUAUACAAAAAUCUAUAGGAGUUUCGUUGUCUUUCGCAGUGAAAACACACGAAGAGAAAUCAACGAAGAGAAAGGUAAUUUUGGUUCCGGAUCUUCUUAUAUCUGUAUACGGACUGGUUAAUGUUUCUGCCCCAGUUCUGGAUUUUGUUUGGUUCGCGCUCAUUCAAUUAUAUAUAUGUCUAUAAAUAGAAGAUGGAUGACAUUAGAAUCCAAGGGUUUCGACUUUUGAGGGUUCUUGCAAUUGAGGUAUUCAGUGUAAAAACCUCUGUUAAAACCUUCACUACAUCUCAAAUUCUACAUUCGCUUCAGAAAGUUGUAGGUGUGGCUGAGUUUUUGAAGAUUUCACACAUCUCUACAUUUCUGGAUCUCAUCUCUCUUCGCAAAAGUUGUAGGUGCAGCUGAGUUUUUGAAGAUCUCAGAUAACAGCGUCGCUACAUUUUCAGGGCCUUCUUUUUCUUCGCAACAGCUUUAUACUGUUUUGCAGCCAUGGAUUUGAUUAAUAAUUUGGAUAACAUUUUCCGAGAUCUAAAUGGUCCCCAAGACCUGUUAGAUAAUUUUGAUGCCAGAGUGAAGGAGUGUGGCCUCAAACUAGAUCAAGUAGAACACUUUGUUGAGAAAAGUCAGAAGAAGCCCAGUAACAAACUCAAGACUUUGAUGACUGAGGUUCUUGAAGUAUAUGCACAGUGUGCAACAGAUUAUAUGAUUCAAGUUAAGUUUGAUCAUGAUGAGCUUCAGGACUUCCAGGACAUGCUUCGUAAGGCCCCAAAAUAUGUGGGCAAAGUUGCUUACUUACCUGGCAAGCUCCUCACGAGGCUUUCAAAAAUUGUAGAUAUAUACAGUGAUGCUUUUGGUGGCUUUCGACGUUGGGUGGACUUAAGGGAAAGGGAAAAUCUUGCUGAAUGGUUAUGUUCAUUCUUCGUUUUUGCUUUUUCCUUUUGAAGUAUUUCUCCAGUGUUAGUUUAAGAACUCGUGUUUGCACUGUAUAGAACAAGAUUUGGUACCAGCUAUUAGACCUUUACUGUCACCUUGUCUUAUGCUUCUGGAAUGCUGGGAAGUAAACAUUCUAUCUUGCAGUAACUGGUGUACUGAGAUGCCAGAUAUUGGUAUGAAUAAAAGUUGGCUAGAACUAGGGAAAGUUGGAUCGAAAAUAUGUUAAGAUAAACAAUUAUUAUAUGUUGCUGUUAUAACUUCCUUUUGUGCACAAGGAGGACAUCUCCCAGUCUUGAAUUAUAAUUGUCUUUGACCUUAUUUUUA